rnacentral:lncRNA from 1 species
UGCAGGUAUAAUAUCGAUGAGCUCCCUCCGCUGCAAUUUAUUUCGGAGUGCAGGGUGUUAACAAGGUUGCAGUCACUUGGUCCAUUGUUGUAAGCUAUUGUGCUGUAUAUAUUUAAUAUCUCAAUUUGUCAUCUGUAAAGAGUGAACACUUAAGUUCCUCAAGAUACAAUGCAGAAAAUACAAUGUAAUAUCUAACUGAAGAAAAGAAAUGGAGAUCAAAAGUUCAGUUUUGUCUUAUACGGUGACUGUACUGGAUUUCAGGUCAUAGUUAUUACACUGCCAAACAAAUUUGAGGUCAUAUUGACUCGCAUGCUUCAAAUUGAAAUUGUUAUUGAUCACUUCCUCCUGGACAUGAUCCAAAUUAUAGAGUUCAUAUCAAAUUUGAAAUGAUAAAAGACUAUUUAUCAGAGAAUUCUAAAGGAAAUUCAAACAAUA